UACGGAGGGUGCAAGCGUUAUCCGGAUUCACUGGGUUUAAAGGGUGCGUAGGCGGGCAUGUAAGUCAGUGGUGAAAUCUCAAAGCUUAACUUUGAAACUGCCAUUGAUACUAUGUGUCUUGAAUUUCCUGGAGGUUAGCGGAAUAUGUCAUGUAGCGGUGAAAUGCUUAGAUAUGACAUAGAACACCGAUUGCGAAGGCAGCUGACUAUAGGUAGAUUGGCGCUGAUGCACGAAAGCGUGGGGAUCAAACAGG
rnacentral:rRNA from 1 species